AUAUUUUAUAAAGCUAACCAAAAUUAGAGUUGAAAUGACUUAAAUUAUCCUUAACUUUCUCUUCCACUCCUGGCUCCUGGCUCCUGUUGUUGUCUUUGAACUCAUCUCCAACUAAAACACUACCUCUAAACUUCUCUUUACCCAGAUGCAAUUAAACCAAGUGAUCACGCCAAGCACUAGCUCCAUAUGAAUCUCCUCGGCGCGCCUCCAAUGAUUAUCUGACGAAGACUCCCUCUGAUCCCACCUCCUCUCUUCCGAUUUCCCUCCUCAUUUUUUCCUUGAUUACCUCCCCAAAUUCAUCAACCUAUAAAUCCCUCUACAAAAUCAGCUACAAUAUGAGAAAAUAGCGUCCCAUCGGACGGCGGUGUUGAGGAAGGAGAGUCAGGUUGUAGAACGGUAUUUUAAGCUCUGGGAUAUGGAGACUCGAUUGCCUGAAAAGACACAAAAUGUGAAAAACUCUUUCUGAGCUCUCAAAUAAUCUGAGCAGGAUCUGGUUCUUCUGGGAAAA